UGGUCCACACUGCACCCAUUUCAAGGGCCUUAGCUAUACACAGGAUUCUACCCACUGAGGUCCCUAAGAUCUAAAUUCCCCUUUAGGAUCUGGAUUUUAGUUUUAGGGCUUUGAUGGUCUAUGUACGAAAUGUGCUCCAGACGGUUUCAGUUUUGCUGCAUGCAGCUAUUUCACAGGCUUACUACAGCUGCCUUUGAUCCUCUUUGAGGUUCGCGUGUGGAAAUCUCUGGCUUUCAUGUGGGGAGAAUGCAGCCAACUGUACAAAGGAUCUCUUCUGAAAGCAUUCCAAACAAGGAUACAGCUACUACUGCAAAACAUUUGUUCCACUGUCACCACUGCCAAGAAAGGACUGAAGCUGUGAAAUCAAAACUUCAGAAUCAAAUUAUGGAGUGAAAGCAUUCCUGCAGUGCAAAUCAGCUGUCGGGUGCUCUUUCUUUUGAGUGAAGGUAGGCUUGAGUGGGCAAUGAGAGUAACUUGCCCAGAUGCCCCCAGAAACCCAGCACAGAUUGCUUCAAAGGAGAUUAAGCAAAUUCAGACAGCA